GCCAGGGUGGAGUGCAGUGACACAAUCUCAGCUCACUGCAACCUCCACCUCCUGGGUUCAAGCAAUUCUCCUGCCUCAGCCUCCCGAGUAGCAGACAGUAGGUGUAUCUGUCUCUUGUGACUAAUACAAAUAGUUACAGAACAUAUGAUCAAUUUAAAAAUAUCCAAGAUGGGCAUUUUGGAGGUUAGAAAAAUUUCCUAGGUUACAAGCUGAAUACAACCAACAAAGAAGACUGGUUUUGUCAGAUUCCAAGAGAAUGUGUACUUCCUUCAAACCCACCAUGAGAGUAGAAACAGACUGACUUGUCACAUCAGAUUUACCUGUUAUAAUAUAAAUUCCUAAGUGGAUAUACUCAGAAUGUGAAGACCUGGAAUACAGUCUGAGAAGACAGUAAUGGGCUACAUGAUACCCUCCUUUAAAAAAAAAUGUUUUCCUCAGGAUGCUUUUAGCCUUAACACAGUAUGAUUUUAUGAGAAGUACUGCAUCUACAAAAUUAUCUUUGCAUACCACCUAGUAUAAAGUGGGCACUUAACUGUUAAGUGUCUAUUCAUCUUUCAAUAUUCAGUUCAAGUGGUUCCUCUUUUUAGUUUUUGUUGGUUAUCCCAAACAGAGACAACCUCACUUCUCUGAAUAUCUAUAGAAGUCAUUGUUCAUACUAAACAUGUGAAGCAUAUAUACCGUAUUGUAUAAUGGUUAUUUAAAUUCAUGUGUUAUGACUGCCACCUGACUAUAAGAUCUUAGAGAAGGCAUAUUUAUCUCUGUAGUCCCUAAUAGUGCCUUGUUCUGAUAUAUGUUUAAAUAUUUUUAUUGAACUAGCUGAAUUCUUUUUCUAAACAUCUGAACAAGAGACCCCUUACACAUCAAAUAUGAAAAUAGUUAUUUGCAUUUGUAAUUUUGUU